UACGUAGGGGGCAAGCGUUGUCCGGAAUUAUUGGGCGUAAAGCGCGCGCAGGCGGUCAUUUAAGUCUGGUGUUUUAAGCCCGGGGCUCAACCCCGGAUCGCACGGGAAACUGGAUGACUUGAGUGCAGAAGAGGAGAGUGGAAUUCCACGUGUAGCGGUGAAAUGCGUAGAGAUGUGGAGGAACACCAGUGGCGAAGGCGACUCUCUGGGGCUGUAAACU
rnacentral:rRNA from 1 species